GACGAACGCUGGCGGCGUGCUUAACACAUGCAAGUCGAACGGAAAGGCCCUGCUUUUGUGGGGUGCUCGAGUGGCGAACGGGUGAGUAACACGUGAGUAACCUGCCCUUGACUUUGGGAUAACUUCAGGAAACUGGGGCUAAUACCGGAUAGGAGCUCCUGCUGCAUGGUGGGGGUUGGAAAGUUUCGGCGGUUGGGGAUGGACUCGCGGCUUAUCAGCUUGUUGGUGGGGUAGUGGCUUACCAAGGCUUUGACGGGUAGCCGGCCUGAGAGGGUGACCGGCAACAUUGGGACUGGGAUACGGCCCAGACUCCUACGGGAGGCAGCAGUGGGGAAUAUUGCACAAUGGGCGGAAGCCUGAUGCAGAAACGCCGCGUGCGGGAUGACGGCCUUCGGGUUGUAAACCGAUUUCGCCUGUGACGAAGCGUGAGUGACGGUAAUGGGUAAAGAAGCACCGGCUAACUACGUG
rnacentral:rRNA from 1 species